rnacentral:pre_miRNA from 1 species
GUACUACUCCCUCCGUUCGGAAUUACUUGUCAUGGAAAUGAAUGCAUCUAGAACAUCUAGAUGCAUUGAUUUCCGUGACAAGUAAUUCCGAACGGGUGGAGUACAUC